ACUACUGAGGGAACAUAGGACUUCUUACAUAUCUUUUCUAAAUAUAAAAUGUAUAUCUUCAUCAAAGUCUUCUAUGUUAUAAUUCAGCUUCAUGUGCAUGCAGUUCCUAAUGUUAGCAGUAAUCAGAGCACUCCUGCACAACAACCGCGACGACAAUCUUCCUUCUCUUUAUCAUCGCUCACCAUCUGUGUCCUGUCAUUGAUGGCACCUUAGCCACACUACACCGGCUCUGGCACCAUAAAGGCGAUGGUAGAGAUCCCGUGGGAAGGUACCUUCGCCACACUACACCGGCUCUGGCACCAUUAAGGCGAUGGUACAUUCCGUGGGACUGUCGCGCAUGGUACCAGGCCAAGAUGCUCCCGCCAACCAUGAAAGCGGCCACCUGCUGCAAACAUUUGAAGAGUCAUUAUGUGAUUACUAUUACAUCUACAUCUGAUGAAUGAGAAUAACAAGUAGGAUGGUGAAUGAGAAGUCAACAUCCAACAUGAAUAGCUAGACAACAUGUAGAUAACAGGCUAAACUUCCUUUCCUGCUAAAUCUUUGAUAUUACCCCAGUAAUGCGAACCAACUGCUUCAAGCUUCUCAGAUGGACCCUUAUAUCCCUUAGUUCUUCUACCGAAACAAACUACUUGCCCCGGGAUAACCACCAUAUGUCCGUAAGACAACAACUUGCACCUUCCACUUGGCAUGGUUCAUAGUUGAUUGUGCCUCUUCAGCUCUCACGGGAUACAACCAGACAAUGUCAUGUAUAAUGCUCCAAUAAUCAGACAAUCAAGAUGCAUGAACUAAUAUGUAGACUCAAUCUUCUUAGUGAAGAUAUCUUAACAUGUGUUGACAUUUACAAAAAUGCCUGUCAUGAUUUCAUAGAUGACAAAGGCAGACAAUUACGAUGCCAACAUUGCCAGCACAUUAUAUUAGUGAACUCACACGUACAUGUACAUUCCGUAGUUUACCGGAUUUUAUUAUUGACAGAACAGGCAGAAGAUUUUAAAAGGUAAAUAGACAAAUAAGAAUCCAAGUAAUAUCAACAUUGGGAUGCUCUGGUUUAUAUAUCAUUGCUCUGAUUUCUUAAGCCUUUGGUUUUUUGUGCAAUAUAUUUUCCAUGUAAUAGCAAGCUGAAGGAUGAUAAGCUCAAAGAGGUUACCAGGACCAAAGAUG
rnacentral:lncRNA from 1 species